UACGGGGGGGGCAAGCGUUGUUCGGAAUUACUGGGCGUAAAGGGCUCGUAGGCGGCCAACUAAGUCAGACGUGAAAUCCCUCGGCUUAACCGGGGAACUGCGUCUGAUACUGGAUGGCUUGAGUUUGGGAGAGGGAUGCGGAAUUCCAGGUGUAGCGGUGAAAUGCGUAGAUAUUGGGAGGAACACUAGUGGCGAAGGCGGCUCACUGGACCGGUACUGACGCUGAGGCGCGAAAGCGUGGGGAGCAAACGGG
rnacentral:rRNA from 1 species